UUCAAUUCUGUUGUAAAGCAGCUUUCUUGUAGUAUCUGUUCUUAUCAGUUUAAUAUCUGAUACGUCCCCUAUCCGGGGGCUACAUAUGAAAUUGAUUUUUGGAUCACGGAGCUGGAGACGGGACUUGCUCAGUCCAAUCCAAAUUUUUUUUUUUUGGGGGGGGGGGUUAGGGUCAUGGCCUAAUGGUUAGAGAGUCGGACU
rnacentral:snRNA from 12 species